rnacentral:rRNA from 1 species
UACGGAGGGUGCAAGCGUUAUCCGGAUUCACUGGGUUUAAAGGGUGCGUAGGUGGGCUAGUAAGUCCGUGGUGAAAUCCCCGAGCUUAACUCGGGAACUGCCGUGGAUACUAUUAGUCUUGAAUAUCGUGGAGGUAAGCGGAAUAUGUCAUGUAGCGGUGAAAUGCUUAGAUAUGACAUAGAACACCGAUAGCGGAGGCAGCUUACUACGCGAUUAUUGACACUGAGGCACGAAAGCCAGGGGAGCAAACGGG